UAGCGGAGGAAAAGAAACCAACAGGGAUUGCCCUAGUAACGGCGAGUGAAGCGGCAACAGCUCAAAUUUGAAAUCUGGCCCUCGCGGUCCGAGUUGUAAUUUGUAGAGGAUGCUUUUGGUUAGGUACCUUCCGAGUUCCCUGGAACGGGACGCCAGAGAGGGUGAGAGCCCCGUACGGUUGGAUACCGAGCCUCUAUAUAGCUCCUUCGACGAGUCGAGUAGUUUGGGAAUGCUGCUCUAAAUGGGAGGUAAAUUUCUUCUAAAGCUAAAUACCGGCCAGAGACCGAUAGCGCACAAGUAGAGUGAUCGAAAGAUGAAAAGUACUUUGAAAAGAGGGUUAAAUAGCACGUGAAAUUGUUGAAAGGGAAGCGUUUGCGACCAGACUUUUUCCGGGCGGAUCAUCCGGUGUUCUCACCGGUGCACUUCGCCCGGUUUAGGCCAGCAUCGGUUCUCCUAGGGGGAUAAAGGCGGGGGGAACGUGGCUCCUUCGGGAGUGUUAUAGC
rnacentral:rRNA from 1 species